AGAGUUUGAUCCUGGCUCAGAAUAAACGUUGGCGGCGUGCUUAACACAUGCAAGUCGAGCGUGAAAGUUCCUUCGGGAAUGAGUAAAGCGGCGGACGGGUGAGUUACGCGUGAGAAUCUACCCUUUAGUGAAGAAUACCUUCGAGAAAUCAAAGUUAAUACUGCAUACGUCCCUUCGGGGAGAAAGAUGGCUUUAUGCUGUCGCUAAAGGAUGAGCUUGCGUGCUAUUAGCUAGUUGGUGAGGUAAAGGCUCACCAAGGCGAUGAUGGCUAGCCGGCCUGAGAGGGUGUACGGCCACAUUGGAACUGAGACACGGUCCAGACUCCUACGGGAGGCAGCAGUGGGGAAUAUUGCGCAAUGGGCGAAAGCCUGACGCAGCGACGCCGCGUGAAGGAUGAAGGUCUUCGGAUUGUAAACUUCUGUUAAGUGGGAAGAAAGUAUAAUUUAUAAUACAGAUUAUAUAUGACGGUACCGCUAAGGAAAGCACCGGCUAACUUCGUGCCAGCAGCCGCGGUAAUACGAAGGGUGCAAACGUUAUUCGGAAUUACUGGGCGUAAAGAGCGUGUAGACGGUUCAUUAAGCUUGCUGUUAAAUUUCUCGGCCCAACCGAGAGUCAGCGGUGAGAACUGAUGAGCUAGAGGAUAAGAGAGAGAAGUGGAAUUCUCGGAGUAGCGGUAAAAUGCGUAGAUCUCGAGAGGAACACCGAUGGCGAGGGCAGCUUCUUGGCUUAUUCCUGACGUUGAGACGCGAAAGCGUGGGGAGCAAACAGGAUUAGAUACCCUGGUAGUCCACGCUGUAAACUAUAAUCACUAGAUGUCGGUUCGGCUUUGCUGGAUCGGUAUCGAAGCUAACGCGUUAAGUGAUUCGCCUGGGGACUACGAUCGCAAGAUUAAAACUCAAAGGAAUUGACGGGGGUCCGCACAAGCGGUGGAACAUGUGGUUUAAUUCGACACUACGCGAGGAACCUUACCUGGACUUGACAUGUAUUUGACAGUUGUAGAAAUACAAUCUUUUAGGCUUCGGUCUAGACAGAUGCACAGGUGCUGCAUGGCUGUCGUCAGCUCGUGUCGUGAGAUGUUGGGUUAAGUCCUUUAACGAGCGCAACCCUUGCUGCUAGUUGCUAAUCUUUUAGAUGCACUCUAGUGGGACUGCCUGGGAAACCAGGAGGAAGGUGGGGACGACGUCAAGUCAUCAUGGUCCUUAUGUCCAGGGCUACACACGUGUUACAAUGGUCGGUACAACGGGCAGCGAAUCCGUAAGGAUGAGCAAAUCCUAAUAAAGCCGAUCUAAGUUCGGAUUGAGGUCUGCAACUCGACCUCAUGAAGUUGAAAUCGCUAGUAAUCGCGUAUCAGCAACGACGCGGUGAAUACGUUCUCGGACCUUGUACACACUGCCCGUCAC
rnacentral:rRNA from 1 species